AUCAUUGUGACUUCAAAAGGCCAUUCCACAGUUCUAUCAAUCCAGCUUCUUCAGGAUGAUGGGGAACAUGGAUCACUGUGAUUAACUAGCCAAUGCCAGAGCUCUACACAAAUCAAACUAUCCUGAUUGCUGCUUUGCCUAUGUUGUCCAUGAUGGUAGCUAUGCCCACUGUGCCUUUGAUGGAUGAGUGCCACCACUUGGCUCCUGCCACCUUGGGUUCCAAUUAUCCCCAUUGCAUUUAAAUUUUGUUGUUGAGUGACUAUGGUUCCCACUGUUAGAUAUGGUAUCCGGAGAAAAGCAACACAUACAGAACUCUUCAAAGACGCAGGUGCUGCCUUCACAAAUCUGUUUUCCAAAGCAUUGGUAAAAGUGUCCCACAAUAGGCCAUCUGUAAGCCGAGGAGAAAGGAAGCCAGUUGAAGUCCCAAAGCUGAAGAGCUUGGAGUCCAAUGUUUGAGGGCAUGGAGCAUCCAGCACUGGAGAAAGAGAGGAUGGUAGGUUAGGAAAAGACAUACAGGCCAUCUUCCCCAUCCCUGAAUAGAAGCUCAGCUCCUGAAAUCGUUUGGGUAAGCAAUUGCUGAUUUUAGUCAAAUUCCCUCACUUCACAAAAAGUGAAGUUUCUGAAAAGUAAUACAGCAGGCAAAGAAAAUCUGCAGGAGACAGCAGAAGGAAAAGCAAUUAUUCUGAAUAAUCUACACAUAAAUUGCUGUAACUUCUCACCUGGAUUCCAGAGCUCUCAUGAAGAAAUAUGAUUUUGUUUGAUAUUUACCACCCCCUUCAAUUCUGAGGAGCGAUUACUUCCAAAUGAGGCAUGUAUGCUGAGUUGUUCUUUGACUCAUCUAUAAAGUUACAAUGGAAUGACAGAAUUAACAAUGUGCUAAAGACUUUCUAAGAUGUGAGAAAUUACCAGCUUUAAGAGGCAUAAAGGGUAUCUCUGCAGGUAUUUGCAGAUAUUUGCAGCUUUUAGCAAAUUGAGGGAAUUUGAAUUUCUAACAUCAAAAUGCAAUGUACAAAGGAGGAAAAAAUAUGACUCACCCAGCCCCCAAAUUUCAUAUUUAUAUCUCUGAUUGAAUCUGGUUUUAAAGGCGAAAUUUUAAAGGAAUAAAAGGCAAAAAAGAAAAAAAGAAAAUGAAGAAAGAGAAGAAAGGAAGGAAACUUUGCUCUCUUACUGG